UGUUUUUUUUUUUUUUUUUGAGACGGAGUCUUGCUCUGUCACCCAGGCUGGAGUGCAGUGGCAUGAUCUCAGUUCACUGCAACCUCUGCCUCCUGGGUUCAAGUGAUUCUUCUGCCUCAGCCUCCUAAGAAGCUGGGACUACAGGCGUACGCCACCAUUCCCAUCUAAUUUUUGUGUUUUUACUAGAGAUGGGGUUUCACCAUAUCAGCCAGGCUGGUCUCAAACUCCUGACCUCAUGAUCCACCUGCCUCGGCCUCCUAAAGUGCUGGGAUUACAGGCGUGAGCCACCGCUCACGGCCUAUUGUGUAAUACAUUCUAAACCUGUCGCCAGUUCCCUUUCAUUACCUCAUUUGACAGAGUAAGUGGUCAAACCUCUGAGGAGAGCUGAGGAAGGCCAAGGCCUGAGGUCCUCGAGGACCUGGGAGAGCUUCAGGUCUGCAGAACCAACCCAGGAACUGCCGGGCCGCUCCAGGGGCCCACUUCUACUGCCACGAGCAUCUUAGGUUCUCUUGCUGACAUGCAUUUAAAUAAUUACUUGCCUUACACACACCACAAAAGCAUUAGUUGGACACUGGUAUAAAUUCCAUACAAAAUGCCAGUUCUUUGAAGCCAUCUGAAUCUCCUUGAGAAUAUUUCCUAAAAGCCUCACCUAUGACUUUAAAACGGAAGAUGGAGAAAAUGCCAGUUGCAACCUCGCUGGCUCUCAUUAAGGGGUCACUGUCAGAAAUUGGUUGAGGAGAAGGAGAAGGAGGGGUAAUUUCCCUUUAAAAUGGAGAGGAGCUUCUUUUAGAAAGGAAAUUCGCUGAGGAAGUUGUUUUAAAACAAAUAAAUGUUCAGGAUGAAGCCAGCAAAAGGUGUGAAGGGGCCCGCUUUGAUUUUCCAAUUUGUGUAUUUGGGCUCAGACAAGGACAACAUUUUAUGCACAUAUUAAUCGAAUGCAAAUACACCUCCCGCGAGGACAGCGGUAUUUGACACUGAGUAUUGUCAACAGAAAGGUUUUUGGCGUAUUUUUUAAUCUCAUCAAGGUGCCUAUGGAAGGGGCAGUACCCGGGGAGGUGGGACGUCCCUGUGCCUGGGAAUGGAGUCUGGGCUGGACUUCCAGAUGGGUCCGGAGCAAGUGAUUUACGGAAUUAUCUCCACAUCAAUGAGUUUUUGGAAAGCUGUAAACAUCUCCUUCCAAGUCUUCAGGUGACUGUGUUUGUUUAGCCCCCUCCUCCUCUCCCCCAGGAGCUCUGGUUCUUCAACUUGAGUGGGCAUCAAUCACCUGGGGGGCUUGUGACAACAGUUUUCGAGGCCCCACCCCACCUGAGGCCACAGCUCUGUGGGGCCCAGGGAUGUGCAUUUCUCACAAGUCGCCGGGUGACGCUGGUCCAAGACCACACCUUGAGACCCG
rnacentral:lncRNA from 10 species